rnacentral:tmRNA from 2 species
GGGGAUGAUCGGUUUCGACGUUGACGACGAACCGGCGGGAAGCGGGUCGAGGAGGCCGGGUCAUCUCGUGAACGCACCCGGCACCAGAUAAGUGCCGAAAAGAUCAGCACUGUUCCCUCGCAGCUCGACUACGACCUCGCGGCCUAGUCGCCAGCUCCGAUAGGAACCGUCAGGCCGGAGAUGCUCUCGAUCCGGUUCUGGCGUCAGUGAGAGAGCUUGCUUCGAUGCGGCGCCUCAGCACAUCAGAAGGACACGAGCUGAGACUGGGUUCGUUGGAGAUUGCUGCCGGUGGCGCGCUCCAGGACCGAGCAACACAUCCACACCGGCUGCACCCGGAGAAGACGCCGACUCACGGCAGCGGACGGGGGUUCGAUUCCCCCCAUCUCCACUC